CCGGCACCAAGCAGGCACUUGCACACUUGACAUCAGUGCAUGGAAUAAGUGGCAGCCAGGAGACCGCCAGCGCUGCAGUGACACACAGCAGGGUAUCUUGAACUUCUCUGCGGAGCUCCUCUCAGUUGUGACCCUUUUCAGAUGAAAAGGAUGAUGAGUUGUGGUCAGAGACAGCCCUGGAGUCUGCUAGACAGGAUAUAAGAAUCUCCUCAUCCUUCAACAGGUUCUGAGGAAGAAACUUCCUACCCCACGCCAUCUCAGUAAGGUGGUCCAAGGAGAGCUUUUUAUAAAUCAGCCCUUUUUACUCCCG
rnacentral:lncRNA from 1 species